rnacentral:rRNA from 1 species
ACUCAAAUGAAUAGACGGGGACCCGCACAACUGGUGGAGCGUGUGGUUUAAUUCGAGACAAAGCGAAAAACCUUACCAGGGCUUGACAUGCUAUCGUUUUAUUCCUUUGGAAACAAGGGAAGAUCCGCAAGGAUGAUAGUGCAGGUGCUGCAUGGCUGUCGUCAGCUCGUGCCGUGAGGUGUUCCCUUAAGUGGGGAAACGAGCGCAACCCCCGCGAAAUGUUACAUAUUCAUUUCGGACAGCCCCGAUUUAAUCGGGGAGGAAGGAGGGGAAGACGUCAAGUCAGCACGGCCCUUAUGCCCUGGGUUACACACACCCUACAAUGGCGAAAAACAAUGGGCAGCAAGCCGGCAACGGCAAGCAAAUCCCACAAAUUUCGUCUCAGUUCAGAUUGGGGGCUGCAACCCGCCCCCAUGAAGUCGGAAUCAGUAGUAAUCGCGGAUCAGAAGGCCGCGGUGAAUACGUUCUCGGGUCUUGCACACACCGCCCGU